rnacentral:rRNA from 1 species
AGUGAACGCUGGCGGUAGGCCUAGCACAUGCAAGUCGAACGGCAGCACAGUAAGAGCUUGCUCUUACGGGUGGCGAGUGGCGGACGGGUGAGGAAUACAUCGGAAUCUACUUUUUCGUGGGGGAUAACGUAGGGAAACUUACGCUAAUACCGCAUACGACCUACGGGUGAAAGCAGGGGAUCUUCGGACCUUGCGCGAUUGAAUGAGCCGAUGUCGGAUUAGCUAGUUGGCGGGGUAAAGGCCCACCAAGGCGACGAUCCGUAGCUGGUCUGAGAGGAUGAUCAGCCACACUGGAACUGAGACACGGUCCAGACUCCUACGGGAGGCAGCAGUGGGGAAUAUUGGACAAUGGGCGCAAGCCUGAUCCAGCCAUACCGCGUGGGUGAAGAAGGCCUUCGGGUUGUAAAGCCCUUUUGUUGGGAAAGAAAAGCAGCAGGUUAAUACCCCGCUGUUCUGACGGUACCCAAAGAAUAAGCAUCGGCUAACUUCGU